rnacentral:rRNA from 1 species
GGAGUUUGAUCCUGGCUCAGGAUGAACGCUAUCAAUAUACUUGACACAUGCAAGUCAAACGAAAUUUUUUUUCGUGGCGUAAGGGUGAGUAAUACAUAAGAAUCUACCAUUGAAUUAUGGCACAAACAAAUCUACUAAAGAGAAAAGAUUUUAUUAUCUAAUGUUAAUGUCUAAAGAAUGACAAUUCGUUUAAUGAUGAGCUUAUGGAAGAUUAGGUAGUUGGUGUGGGUAAAAGCCUACCAAGCCGAUGAUCUUUAGCUGGUUUGAGAGAAUGAUCAGCCACACUGGAACUGAAACAAGGUCCAGGCUUUUUCGGAAGCCAGCAGUGAGGAAUAUUGGACAAUGGGCGAAAGCCUGAUCCAGUAAUAUUGAGUGCGCGAGGAAAGCAUAAAAGACAUUUUAUAUGUUGGCUGUAAAGCGCUUUCGGCAAAGAAGAUUAUGACUUAUUUGAUGAAGAAGCCCCGGCUAAUUUCGUGCCAGCAGCCGCGGUAAGACGAGAGGGGCGAGCGUUAUCCGGAAUAACUGGGCGUAAAGGGUCCGUAGGUUGUAGUUUGUAUGCUUUUAGUAAAAGACAAAAAUUUAAUUUUUGAAAUGCUUUAAGGACAGAUCUACUAGAGUUUAGCAGAGGAUAAUAGAAUUCCAUGUGGAGGGGUGGAAUCCUAAGAUAUAUGGAGGAAUGCCAGUAGCGAAAGCGAUUAUCUGGGCUAUUACUGACACUGAGGGACGAAAGCGUAGGUAGCAAACAGGAUUAGAUACCCUGGUAGUCUACGCUGUCAAUGCUGAGUGCUAAUAUUUGGAAUAAUAUUUUAGAUAUACAGUUAACACGUUAAGCACUCCGCCUGAGGAGUACGGCCGCAAGGCUAAAACUCAAAGGAAUUGACGGGGGUCUACACAAGUGGUGGAGCAUGUGGUUUAAUGCGAUAAUACGCGCGUAACCUUACCAGCUUUUGCAUAUUUUUAAUAUUACGAUUAAUAUUCGUGGUGUUUUUUAUAAAUUCUUUGUGUAUCUUUAUAAAAAACUAAAAAAUACAGGUGUUGCAUGGCUGUCGUCAGCUCGUGUUGUGAAAUGUUUGGUUAAGUCCUUUAACGAGCGCAACUCCCAUUCUAUAUUAAGCUUUUUAUUUGAAAAAUCAGAUAUAAUAUGCUUAUAGAAAACAGCUAGUUAUAAGCUAGAGGAAGGUGGGAACGACGUCAAGCCCUCAUGGCCCUUAUAAGCUGGGCUACAACACGUGCUACAAUAGAAAAGACAAAAAGAAGCAAAAACGUGAGUUUAAGCAAAACUAAAAACUUUUCUGUGUUCGGAUUGUAGGCUGCAACUCGCCUACAUGAAGUCGGAAUCACAAGUAAUCGUAAAUCAGGAACGUUACGGUGAAUUUGUACCUAGAUCUUGUACACACCGCCCGUCAUUUAGGGGAAGUUUUCUUUGCUUGAAAUUUAUUUUUGAAAUAUAAAAAAAUUAUUACAUUGUUUAUUUGAUUAAUCAA